rnacentral:rRNA from 1 species
GCACGUCCAAGUAUACGCCGAAACAAGGCGAAACCGCGAAUGGCUUAUUAAAUCAGUUAUGGUUCCUUAGAUAGUUUCUUCCUACUUGGAUAACUGUGGCAAUUCUAGAGCUAAUACAUGCAGUGAGCCCGAAGCCUCUCGGGGCGACGGGUGCUUUUAUUAGACCAAGAUCAAUCGGGCUUCGAUCCCUUUUGUGUGGUGACUCUGGAUAACUUUGUGCUAAUCGCACGGCCACGAGCCGGUGACGUUUCUUUCCUGUGUCUGCCUUAUCAACUGUCGAUGAUAGGUUAUGCGCCUACCAUGGUUGUUACGGGUAACGGAGAACCAGGGUUCAAUUCCGGAGAGGGAGCCUGAGAAACGGCUACUACAUCCAAGGAAGGCAGC